rnacentral:rRNA from 1 species
UACGUAGGGGGCAAGCGUUGUCCGGAUUUAUUGGGCGUAAAGAGCUCGUAGGGGGGUUGGUAAGUCGGAUGUGAAAUCUCCAGGCUCAACCUGGAGGGGUCAUUCGAUACUGCCAUGACUAGAGGUCGGUAGGGGAGUGUGGAAUUCCUGGUGGAGCGGUGAAAUGCGCAGAUAUCAGGAGGAACACCCGUAGCGAAGGCGGCACUCUGGGCCGAUACUGACACUGAGGAGCGAAAGCGUGGGGAGCGAACAGG